rnacentral:rRNA from 1 species
GAUGAACGCUAGCGAUAGGCCUAACACAUGCAAGUCGAGGGGCAGCAUAGAGUAGCAAUACUUUGAUGGCGACCGGCGCACGGGUGAGUAACACGUAUGCAACCUACCUACAUCAGGGGAAUAACCCGGAGAAAUUCGGACUAAUACCGCAUAAUACCGGGACGCCGCAUGGCAAUAUUUGUUAAAGAUUUAUCGGAUGUAGAUGGGCAUGCGUUCCAUUAGCUUGUUGGUGAGGUAACGGCUCACCAAGGCAACGAUGGAUAGGGGAACUGAGAGGUUUGUCCCCCACACUGGAACUGAGACACGGACCAGACUCCUACGGGAGGCAGCAGUGAGGAAUAUUGGUCAAUGGACGAGAGUCUGAACCAGCCAAAUCGCGCGAAGGAAGACUGCCCUACGGGUUGUAAACUUCUUUUGUACAGGAAUAAAAGACAUUACGUGUAAUGUAUUGCAUGUACUGUACGAAUAAGCAUCGGCUAACUCCGUGCCAGCCGCCGCCGUAA